rnacentral:rRNA from 1 species
CGCCGUAAACGAUGUCGACUUGGAGGUUGUGCCCUGAAGGCGUGGCUUCCGGAGCUAACGCGUUAAGUCGACCGCCUGGGGAGUACGGCCGCAAGGUUAAAACUCAAAUGAAUUGACGGGGGCCCGCACAAGCGGUGGAGCAUGUGGUUUAAUUCGAUGCAACGCGAAGAACCUUACCUACUCUUGACAUCCAGAGAACUUUCCAGAGAUGGAUUGGUGCCUUCGGGAACUCUGAGACAGGUGCUGCAUGGCUGUCGUCAGCUCGUGUUGUGAAAUGUUGGGUUAAGUCCCGCAACGAGCGCAACCCUUAUCCUUUGUUGCCAGCGGUCCGGCCGGGAACUCAAAGGAGACUGCCAGUGAUAAACUGGAGGAAGGUGGGGAUGACGUCAAGUCAUCAUGGCCCUUACGAGUAGGGCUACACACGUGCUACAAUGGCGCAUACAAAGAGAAGCGACCUCGCGAGAGCAAGCGGACCUCAUAAAGUGCGUCGUAGUCCGGAUUGGAGUCUGCAACUCGACUCCAUGAAGUCGGAAUCGCUAGUAAUCGUAGAUCAGAAUGCUACGGUGAAUACGUUCCCGGGCCUUGUACACACCGCCCGUCACACCAUGGGAGUGGGUUGCAAAAGAAGUAGGUAGCUUAACCUUCGGGAGGGCGCUUACCACUUUGUGAUUCAUGACUGGGGUGAAGUC